CCUACGUGAGGCAGCAGUGGGGAAUAUUGGACAAUGGGGGGAACCCUGAUACAGCGACGCCGCGUGAGUGAAGAAGUAUUUCGGUAUGUAAAGCUCUAUCAGCAGGGAAGAAAGAAAUGACGGUACCUUACUAAGAAGCCCCGGCUAACUACGUGCCAGCAGCCGCGGUAAUACGUAGGGGGCAAGCGUUAUCCGGAUUUACUGGGUGUAAAGGGAGCGUAGACGGCGAUGCAAGUCUGAAGUGAAAGGCGGGGGCCCAACCCCCGGACUGCUUUGGAAACUGUAUGGCUGGAGUGCAGGAGAGGUAAGUGGAAUUCCUAGUGUAGCGGUGAAAUGCGUAGAUAUUAGGAGGAACACCAGUGGCGAAGGCGGCUUACUGGACUGUAACUGACGUUGAGGCUCGAAAGCGUGGGGAGCAAACAGGAUUAGAUACCCUUGUAGUC
rnacentral:rRNA from 1 species